rnacentral:rRNA from 1 species
GGGUUGUGAGGUUAAGCGACUAAGCGUACACGGUGGAUGCCCUGGCAGUCAGAGGCGAUGAAGGACGUGCUAAUCUGCGAUAAGCGCCGGUAAGGUGAUAUGAACCGUUAUAACCGGCGAUUUCCGAAUGGGGAAACCCAGUGUGAUUCGUCACACUAUCAUUAACUGAAUCCAUAGGUUAAUGAGGCGAACCGGGGGAACUGAAACAUCUAAGUACCCCGAGGAAAAGAAAUCAACCGAGAUUCCCCCAGUAGCGGCGAGCGAACGGGGAGGAGCCCAGAGCCUGAAUCAGCAUGUGUGUUAGUGGAAGCGUCUGGAAAGGCGCGCGAUACAGGGUGACAGCCCCGUACACAAAAGCGCAUGUGCUGUGAGCUCGAUGAGUAGGGCGGGACACGUGGUAUCCUGUCUGAAUAUGGGGGGACCAUCCUCCAAGGCUAAAUACUCCUGACUGACCGAUAGUGAACCAGUACCGUGAGGGAAAGGCGAAAAGAACCCCGGCGAGGGGAGUGAAAAAGAACCUGAAACCGUGUACGUACAAGCAGUGGGAGCACAGGUUUACCUGUGUGACUGCGUACCUUUUGUAUAAUGGGUCAGCGACUUAUAUUCUGUAGCAAGGUUAACCGUAUAGGGGAGCCGGAGGGAAACCGAGUCUUAACCGGGCGUUAAGUUGCAGGGUAUAGACCCGAAACCCGGUGAUCUAGCCAUGGGCAGGUUGAAGGUUGGGUAACACUAACUGGAGGACCGAACCGACUAAUGUUGAAAAAUUAGCGGAUGACCUGUGGCUGGGGGUGAAAGGCCAAUCAAACCGGGAGAUAGCUGGUUCUCCCCGAAAGCUAUUUAGGUAGCGCCUCGUGAAUUCAUC